AUGCAUGAAGGCCGCUGGCUUUUGCAGUCAUUUAGCAAUAAAUAGUGACUUUAAAACUAGUCAUUUGUAUUCAUCCUAGGUUUAAAAUAUAAAGUGCAUUUAUGAGGCUUCAUAGCCAUCUUCUCAUCUUUGAUGUGAUUUCCAGUCAGUACAGUGACAUUUUUAGUUCCUGGUCAAGGGACCUUCCUGGGUCUUCUUCCUUGUGUUCCAUAGUCCUAUCUAUCUGGAAGAGUUCCAGGAUGAUGUAAAGUUGGUUUGUGUGGUC
rnacentral:antisense_RNA from 1 species